rnacentral:lncRNA from 1 species
UUAUUCACUCUUCAAAAGAACUUAAUAGAUGUAAGAGUUUAUCAACUGUUGAAAAUAGCCAAUAAACACUAAAUAUUUCAAACACAAAAUUCGAGUUUGAUUAUUUUUCAAAUUCAUAUGUUUAUAGUUUCCCGUGCAUUACAAAAAUGAGUCACAACAUAUUUCAGUCACAUUUGCAAUACCUAAGUACAAAAUUCCUAAAAAAAAAAGGGAAAAACAAUUAUAAAAAAAAAAAAAGCCUCUUUCAUAUUAAAUAAACCAUGAUUAUUAGCUCAAGAUUGCAUUUGAAAUUAUCAAAAAAAUAAAAACCAAUUAAAUCAUGACCGUUUAUCCUUGAUCGAGAUCGUCGUUGGAUCAGCACCCAACUUCCUUUGGUGUGAAUAGUUUUUGAGAUGGAAAUUAAUAAAGAGUGCCAAAAGCGACGUCGUAAAGAGGAUAUUCAAAACCCAAACCCGAAACCCGGAGCAACCCGACCCGGUAAAGUGGAGGUACAGCAUCAGACCCGAAAUCAAGUACCCGAAUAGAAACUGUGUGAUCUGGCAGUUCGUCACCNNN